rnacentral:rRNA from 1 species
UACGUAGGGUGCAAGCGUUAAUCGGAAUUACUGGGCGUAAAGCGUGCGCAGGCGGUGAUGUAAGACAGAUGUGAAAUCCCCGGGCUCAACCUGGGAACUGCAUUUGUGACUGCAUCGCUGGAGUGCGGCAGAGGGGGAUGGAAUUCCGCGUGUAGCAGUGAAAUGCGUAGAUAUGCGGAGGAACACCGAUGGCGAAGGGCAAUCCCCUGGGCCUGCACUGACGCUCCAUGCACGGAAAGCGUGGGGAGCAAACAGG